GACGAACGCUGGCGGCGUGCUUAACACAUGCAAGUCGAACGGAAAGGCCCUGCUUUUGUGGGGUGCUCGAGUGGCGAACGGGUGAGUAACACGUGAGUAACCUGCCCUUGACUUUGGGAUAACUUCAGGAAACUGGGGCUAAUACCGGAUAGGAGCUCCUGCUGCAUGGUGGGGGUUGGAAAGUUUCGGCGGUUGGGGAUGGACUCGCGGCUUAUCAGCUUGUUGGUGGGGUAGUGGCUUACCAAGGCUUUGACGGGUAGCCGGCCUGAGAGGGUGACCGGCCACAUUGGGACUGAGAUACGGCCCAGACUCCUACGGGAGGCAGCAGUGGGGAAUAUUGCACAAUGGGGCGGGAAGCCUGAAUGCAGCAAACGCCCGGCGUGCGGGGAUGGACCGGGCCUUUCGGGGUUGUAAAA
rnacentral:rRNA from 1 species